CUGCUGUCGGACGUCUACGAUGCGCCCGAAGCGCUGCGGCUCGGUCUCAUCAACCGCAUCGUGCCGCCGGCCGAUCUCGCCAGUGAAACCGAAAAGCUGGCGCGCCGUCUCGCGGAUGGGCCGACAUUCGNNNNNNNNCGCUGCUACGUGGCUCGCUCGACAAUUCCUUGCACGAUCAAAUGGAAGCCGAGGCAAAGGCGUUUGGCGCGUGCAUCGGUACGAAGGAUUUUGCCGAGGGUG
rnacentral:misc_RNA from 1 species